UACGUAGGGUGCAAGCGUUAAUCGGAAUUACUGGGCGUAAAGCGUGCGCAGGCGGUUUUGUAAGACAGGCGUGAAAUCCCCGGGCUCAACCUGGGAAUUGCGCUUGUGACUGCAAGGCUGGAGUGCGGCAGAGGGGGAUGGAAUUCCGCGUGUAGCAGUGAAAUGCGUAGAUAUGUGGAGGAACUACCGAUGGCGAAGGCAAGCCCCCUGGGACUGCACUGACGCUCAUGCACGAAAGCGUGGGGAGCAAACAGGAUUAGAAACCC
rnacentral:rRNA from 1 species